rnacentral:lncRNA from 1 species
CAAGUGAUUAAAUUGGGCAGUGCUACAGUACUUUUGGAAGACCCUUCUGCCCUACUUUCAAUUCCCAUGAUUUCACGCCAAUGACCAUAUUCCAUUUCAAACUUGUUCACUCUUCAAUAUUUUAGUAGUUUGGAGGCGAGGAAAGUUGUUCCUAGAAGAUCAGAUAAUCCACGCUGCCUCUGAUUUUACACCAGCAUAAAUAUGUUUCAUAAAGUUUCUUUUUAAUCAUAUUAGAACUUUUGGAAGGAAAAACAGAGUGUUAAAAUAUUUCAGCUCAGAACAUGGAAAGCCUUUCCUCUGCGGACCUGUCUGGGGUGCAGAAGCAUAUAUAUGGAUGUCACAAGCUCCACUGGCAAUACUGGCAUUCUGUGGGAGAAUAAGGGAAAGGAGAAAUCUAGCUUUCUGAAGAGUAAUGCACGUGGACUUCUCAAUAAGUAAUUUCUGAGGUGGAAUUUCAAAUGUUAUUCAAGCGACAGCUGCUGGGACAGCCUGUGUGUAGCUAGACAAUCACCUGCAGGUCAACUGUAUUUCAACAACGCCUACGCCUGGUUGGAAGCAGAUGCUGUGCAUGGCAUGAGCCAUCACACGGAGGUAAGAUGUGGCGAUCUUCAACUGGGAUGCACUGAAAUCACUGCUGGAUUGGCUGAUGACAGAUGGAAAACAGCAAUGAAAUGGCAGACAUCCAUACUGUUCACCUAUAGAACUGAGAUUUUACAUAUAUUCAUCUAGACCAGAGCCUCCAUGGGAUAAGCAGAGUGAAACUCCAUGGAGCUUAAGGUAGAAAAACCUUUUAAAGAAAACUGUCAGUCUGAUUCUAGAUUCUUGUAUCUCUUCUACAUUUAUUUUUUUUUUAACUCUUGAAACCUUACUUACUCCUAUUGCUUGCUGACAUUACUUACUGUCUCAUUCUUAACCACUUUUUCCCUCUUCUUCCCCAUACUAUUUUGCUGUUGUGGUGCUUGUACCUUGCUAGGCAGCUGAACUCCACCACAACCACUCUCUCACUCCCCCUCCUCAGAUGAGGAGGGGAAGAAGAAAAGGAAAGAAACAACUCAUGGGUUGAGGUAAGGAACAUUUAAUUAAAGGAAAAAAAUAUUAAGGAAAAAUAUUAUUAAUUAAAUAAUUUAACUAAAGGGAAAAAGGCAAAGGGGAAAAGGGAAAACAACAACAAGAGGCUGUGUGUGGAAGUGUGGAGGAAAGAAAUUACUCUCUAAUUCCCACCAACGAGUGAUGCUUGACCAC